rnacentral:tRNA from 1 species
GCUCCCCUAGUAUACACAUUACAAUUGACUUCCAAUCAAUAAAGUCUGGUUCAAGCCCAGAGAGGAGCA